UACUCCAAACUUCUUCUGGACUUCAUCAAUGUUCGAGCUUCUUUAACAGCAGGACCUCUACAGUAACCAGACUCCAUCCAAAUUUUUACGGUGGUCGACCGCCUUCCAGAUUUCAUCCGGGCUCCUACAAGAGCCGGACUCCGUUCGAACUUCUACAGUGGAUGGAUCCCAGAUGAACUUCUACGACGGACAGGCUCCACCAGUCGGAUCUCUACUCUGAACUUCUUUCGGACUUCGUUAAUGACUGAGCUUCUCCAGCAGCGGGACUUCUACAAUAAGAGGUCUCCAUCCGAGCUUCCACGGCAACCGAUCUUCAUCCGAGCUUCUACAAUAAGCAGACUUCAUCCAGACUCCUACAAGAGCCGGACUUCGUUCGAACUUCUACAGCAGAAUUAAAUCUCGGACUCCUCCAACGUUCGACUUUCCGCAGUGUCCUGAAGACUUCUCCAGCGAACGAACCUCCACAACGCCAUCCGAACUCCACUGUCGAUCGAUCCUCUGUCGGAUUCCUCAUGAAACCGAACUUCUCCAAUAGAAAGUCUCCGUCCGAGCUUCUACAGCAGAUAACUUUCUCUUGCAGCAUCAGCACCCAAGGCACCUGACAACAGUGGACUCAUCAGCGACCUUGAAAACAUCCGAGCUUCUCUUAGAUUGCAGAGACAGAGAGCCAUUCUGCUCCAUCAGACGUCCCAACCGAGCUUUAGCCGUUAGUCCCGAACUCUCUGGCAAGUCGCAACAACGGACACUACUCCACUCUCCAUAACAAACUCCAUGUGGCCCUGAACGGCCUCCUGACACCACUACUCUCCGUAACAAACUCUGCGUAGCCCCGAACGGCCCACUAUCAGACAGUUACAGACGUCGCUGUCAAUCAGUUACGCUCUCCAUCUAUAAAAAGGGACCUCCAGAUACGUUCAUCUCUAAGCUCUAAACUC
rnacentral:lncRNA from 1 species